GCCCGAGUGGUGGAAUAGGUAGACACGAAGGACUUAAAAUCCUUUGGCCAUUGCGGCCGUACCGGUUCGAUUCCGGUCUCGGGUA
rnacentral:tRNA from 1 species